UGCCAGCCGCCGCGGUAAUACGGAGAUGGCAACCGUUGUUCGGAAUCACUGGGCGUAAAGCGCACGUAGGCGGACUUUUAAGUCAGGGGUGAAAUCCCGAGGCUCAACCUCGGAACUGCCUUUGAUACUGGAAGUCUUGAGUCCGAGAGAGGUGAGUGGAACUCCGAGUGUAGAGGUGAAAUUCGUAGAUAUUCGGAAGAACACCAGUGGCGAAGGCGGCUCACUGGCUCGGUACUGACGCUGAGGUGCGAAAGCGUGGGGAGCAAACAGGAUUAGAUA
rnacentral:rRNA from 1 species